AAGAAGUAAAUGCAGACGAAACUUGGCCCAAAUAUCGUGUACAUGUUAAGAGAUAUCACGAUUUAAAUACUCAGUUAUUUAAGAUAGACAGGAAAUUGGAGAACUUAAGUUGCAAAAUAAAUACAGUUAUAACGAAUCAAGGAAAACUAUACAGAUGUUUGCUUCCUCAGGAAAAGAAAAUACUGGAACCACAUAACAUGCCUUCUUUGCCUUUUCGUAACGAAUUUUAGUGUGAUUAUCUUACCUCUUUUGGAUCUGCUAGUGAUGAAAGAAAAACUGCUACCAUAAUUAUGCAAAAACUUAUGUAUAAUUCUUUGGCCAAAAAUUAUAAUUUUGAUGGCCAUGGUGAGAAAAGAGGUUUAAAAACACUGCAACUGUGGACAGUUAUUGAAGGGUUUUUGUCACUUAAAUUUCCGGACAGCGACCUUGAUACAGCACUUAAAACCAUAAAGUCAUGGUUACAAAAUGCUAGCGGUAGGAAACAAGAGGAAUAUAUUGGCUUUGAUAGCCAUUAGAAAAACAUUUCUCUCUUUUGUUGCGGAGAUCUCAGAGAGUCGGCGAGUCUCGAAGGCGAAACUUCUGCGCAAAGUGGUAGACGAAAUCCACCGUGAUCCGCAACACCUUAUGCUGACGACGGAUUAUAUUCUCAUUGUAUUCGCCGUUCCCUUCGAUCAUGCCUGUGACAGGAUUGCUAAACCACUCUUUAAAUUCGCGAUGAGACUGGAAAACGUUAGGCAUAAGAAAGUGCAUGAGCGACCACAGUUCCAUUAAAUUAUUCUUGAUAUUUUGCGCCUCGUCUAAGAUAAGAUAUUUUUAUUUUUUCCGUGUAAAGCUUUGGUAAUCCUGUAUUACUAACUUUAGCUAAUAAGUAGCUGCUAAUUGGCUGUUAUUAAUUUAUUACCUUCCUACUUUAGCGUAAAUGUUAAACGGGUUGUUUCUUGUCGCUCUUCUCAAGUUGUGAGAAUAAGUAAGAAAAAAUUGUGUUGCUAGAUUUUUAUAGCUCCCUUUUUUUUAUAUAUAUAGAAUUGAGACACGGAGUUUGAUAAGUACAAUUGUCUAUGUAUGCAGGCGAACACAGGUGCAAGUUUCCGUAGUAAUAAUUUAUGUUCUGCGAAAAAUAUUUAUUUAUAAUGAUUGCACAAAAAAUAGAUCAAGCAUCACGAUGUUUAAUUUGUUCAUUUUUUUAAAUACUAGUGUGUAUAUAAGAAAGUCUCCUUUUUUUUUCUUUAAUAAAUAUGAUAUGUGCCGAAACUGAAACAGGAAUUGUCGCGUGAAAAAAUAUGUAUACAUCAUCGAUAUAACGUGUUGUAACAUGUAACGUAAGAAUAUUAAACAUUUGUAAGGCGUAA